GCCUUCGUGGAGUAAUGGUAGCACACUCGUCUUGUAUACGAGAGGUCCAAGUUUCGAGUCUCGGAGAGGGUA
rnacentral:tRNA from 1 species